UGUGAAAAUAGAGCACAGGUGGUUUUUCUCAUGAUGCAGCCUUCCCACAUAGUGUGAGACCCCUUCCACCCACACUCAUGGGAGAAGCCCCAGGGAGAAGUGAACUCACAGAAGUGGAAGGCUCCUAGGUUAUUGUAGAAUGUGACUUCACACAAAGCUGAGUGGGUGGAAAUGGGAAUUAAGAGAGAACUGCCCUAUAGGUUUAUAUUUUGUAAUCAUUGUCUAAAUUGUUACCAGUGACAAUGAAAUUAAACAUGAAGUUAAUUAGUGUAACGUAAUAGGCUGAUUCUGUGAUAACUUUCAUAUUGUAAGACUGAAAG